AAGCAAUGAUCUCAUCUCUUCCUAAAUAUUGUGGAGGAGGCCUCAUGUCACCUUAGUGAUAGUGGGCGAUGAUCAGUAAUGAAGCUAAAAGGUCACCGAACACUGUUUUACCUGAAGCUGCAGAGAAUCCUAUGAAGAAUGUAUAAUCGUCGGCCUUUUGCUUACUUCCACACCAACAGAAGGAAAUGUACACGUCUACACCCUGAAGAAUUGACUCGGUUCUGUAAAUGACAUAUGGUGGAGAAUCCUUUUGAAAAAUAAAUACUCCUGUUUUCAUGCUGAA